rnacentral:rRNA from 1 species
GAUGAACGCUGGCGGCGUGCCUAAUACAUGCAAGUCGAACGAAACUUCUUUAUCACCGAGUGCUUGCACUCACCGAUAAAGAGUUGAGUGGCGAACGGGUGAGUAACACGUGGGCAACCUGCCCAAAAGAGGGGGAUAACACUUGGAAACAGGUGCUAAUACCGCAUAACCAUAGUUACCGCAUGGUAACUAUGUAAAAGGUGGCUAUACUACCGCUUUUGGAUGGGCCCGCGGCGCAUUAGCUAGUUGGUAGGGUAAAGGCUUACCAAGGCAAUGAUGCGUAGCCGAAUUGAGAGGUUGAUCGGCCACAUUGGGACUGAGACACGGCCCAAACUCCUACGGGAGGCAGCAGUAGGGAAUCUUCCACAAUGGGCGAAAGCCUGAUGGAGCAACGCCGCGUGGGUGAAGAAGGUCUUCGGAUCGUAAAACCCUGUUGUUAGGGAAGAAAGUGCGUGAGAGUAACUGUUCACGUUUCGACGGUAUCUAACCAGAAAGCCACGGCUAACUACGUG